rnacentral:lncRNA from 1 species
ACCUCUACCUCUUGGUUAUUCACUUUGAUGUGUAGACAUUUGACAAUCAGGCCAGCAGCUCUCUCAUGUACCCAUGAAGGGCUGUUUUAAAAAACUAUGAUAGGCUGUGCUGGGUACUCCCAGCCAGAAAUAAGCUUAAAGAUAAAACUUCUGAACCCGGCUAUGUUCUUGUUCCUUUUCUGCCCAGAGCCUUAGGGAGGAAGAUCUGGCUCCUGGGUUCCAGUGCAGCUGGAUGUCCCACCUGCCUCCAGGCAAGGUCUUACCUGGAUCCAUGCAGCCAGAGUGAGUCACCCUAUUGGUAUUUGUGGCUCUCGUGGUCCUACAUCCGAGUUGUGCACAACAAAGACAGAGCUCGGCCUCAUGAAGGGAACCACUCACUCAGUGAACACUCUUGCUUAGCACACACAACAGAAGCCUUCUUCAGCCUGCAGCUAUCUAGUUUUUUUUUUUUUUUUUUACAAUAAAUCUUAUUUCAUUUA